UGGAGACGUCGCUGCCGU
rnacentral:snRNA from 1 species